GCCAGGUGCAGCGGCUCACGCCUGUGAUCCCAGCAGCUCAGGAGGCUGAGGCAGGAGGAUCACGAGUUCAAAGCCAGCCUCAGCAACUUAGCCAGGCCCUAAGCAAUGCAGCGAGACCCUGUCUCUA
rnacentral:sRNA from 1 species